UGCUGCAGCUCCAGAUCCAGCUCUUCUUUGGAUGCUUUCUGGCUCCUUGUGGCCAACAUCUGGCCUGUCAGCCACCUGCUGGGGCAAAGCUUGCUCUCAUUCAGAAGAUUUCUGCUUGAUAACCAGCAUUCUUCUUCUUCCCCAGCUGAAUUACCUGCUUAUCUGCAGAGUUCCCGUAUUUCCAAGCACUCGCGGUGCAGUUUCACAGGCGGUUUUUCAGGUGUAAUGCGGCAGUCAAUAACCUCCUAACAGGACAGCAAACGGCUCCUGAGAAAAGUUCCCCGCACCAGAGAUGAAAUAUACUUUUUUGACAGAUCAUUGCCACUCAGGUGCACGAAACAGCAGUCAAAGCAAACUCCUAUUUAAAAGCCAACCGAACGCUGAUGAAUAAUAUCCCUGGCUGCUCAUUGCCUUCUCCUCUGAGCCCUCACUCGGAGCACUUUUCAACCAGAAGUCAAAGCAUUUCUAAUUUUUAACCAUGUUUGUUUCAAAUCAUUGUUGAUACUCAUUUUAAUUUAAUUAAGGUGUUGGUUUUUUUCCUUUUUAACAAAUACAGCUCCUCGGUCCCAAAGGGCACGGCACUGUGUGCAGACAUCUGCAGGUAAUCGGAACGGAAAUUCCUCUCCAUUCUGCUCAUUUUCAAGCCUUUCAAAGAUCAAAGGAUUAUUUUUAACCCAGAGCUUUGUCAUUAUUAAAGUGGCAUUAAUAGCUAAAGAUGGCUGUUUCCAAACGGUUGGGUUUAUAUCAUGGCUCCGUAAUAUCCUCACUGGAGGCAGCAGAUGACUCAGAGAGCAGAUGACUCUGAGUGAAACCUCAGAUUUAUCCAGAUACAGUAUCUGGAUGGACAGUACAAAGCGAUCUGCUGCUGAGGGAGGUGCCAAUACCCAUGAAAUGGCAUUGCCCGUUCUGCCAGAACUUACAGUGAUGAGCCCCUGAGCACAACGAGGGAGGAAUUACAGCACUCUUUAAACAAAUUCCCAUCCCAAGUUUUGCUUGUAACUGAGCAGCCAGCCACCCUGACCCCAAAGGCAAUGAGCUUGCCACCUCCUUUGCUUAUUUGUUUGUUUGAAUGGACUCAAAAAUGUUUUUUAAAUGAAACAGCAUCUGUAACCACAGCUCUGUUCUGCUGGUACCAGCCCCCAGAGCAGAUCUGAAUAAUGCCAUGUCCUCCCCUCAGCCACAAAAACAAUCUCUUAUCAACAUAGCCGUGUCCACACGCCAGCCCCUCCUGCAGCAGCUACUGCAUCAGCUAUUCACAUCACAUCCUGACGCUCCUUGUGCGGAAACGUGUAACAUUGACCUAGUUUUUCCUGAGGACCUUCAUCACCAUACGCUUUGGAUGGUGCUUUAGAGCUGUGUUUUGGGACCCGAGUCUACACCAGGUAGAAAACAGUCAUCUUGGACUAAGGAGGGCUCUGAGCUCCUCUGUGCCCAGAAUCAGCACUCAGGACAACAGGAGCAGGACAGGGGGUGGGUGUGUUGUGUUAACCAUCUUGUGACUGCAUUUCUCAUCACUCGACCUACUCCUUUUUCGAGUGUCCUUUUCCUAUCUCCCUAUUUUUUUUUCUUUUUUUCACAGUUAGAGAUUUUCUUCUUUGUUCUCACAGUUCUCAGAAACCCAGGAUUAUUGUACUACCUUUAUUUUUUUCUAAUAAAAAAUAAAGGGGGGGGGGGGGGGGAAACAGCAGAAAUUGGAAGCUGCCUUGCCCUUUUUGGCUGAGAUCAGUUGCUGUAUGAUGGCAGUGAGAAGACCUGUUUAGGACAUACUGGGAAUUAAAAAAGCCAGCUUCCCACUAGGCCUUAGGAUCCCAUUUCUGUGAUAUAUCAGGGUUUUGUCUGCCCUGACACAUAUCAUCUAUCCCUAUUGUCUCCGUAUUAUGUCGCUGUUUAUCAUCCAUUCACAUAUUUAUUUCCCCUUUCAAACAUCAUCUAGGAACUGGGAUAGAGUUCUGAUAGGGAAUUUGCUGCUACGUGUGACUGCAUAGAUUGUCUCAAGGUAGUGAUCAAGGAUAUCAAUCUGGUAUUUUAAUCUGGGUACAGUCAUCCCAUCUCUUAUUUUCAUCCAGGAGAAUUCUCUUAUUUUUUAUUUUUAUUUCCUCCACUCAAAAGCUGCAGUUUUGCAGAAAGCAUUUUUUUUUCCCCUUUUAACUGAAUAUUUAUUAAAUCUUAUGUCAGCUCUUUUCAAAAAUCAUGGGCUGAGAUAAGAGCAAAUAACAGCAUCUCUUUUCCAGCCGCUUCUUUUUCAUGGUUCUGUGCACUAUGUACAUCCUGCAAGAUGAUGAAGAAAAUAAACAGAUGUAUCAGCUCCCUGCAAGCUGACUAUCGACCAGGCAAAAGAAAAAUGAAACCUUCUGCUAAGAUUUAUUUGGAAUAUACUCACAGAUUUCAGGAAAAUAAGUAUAUAGAAAGUUACGUCCAUCCCCAUUGACUCUAUGUGUUUACAUGAAGGAUGCAAAGCUUUCCUAUAGAAGCAAUGAUGCCAUGCAUUUAUUAAACCCAGUGUCCCACUAAGGCUUACGUGUGAGCCAUUCAAGAAGGCAACAGUGACGUCCUCUAUCUUGUCUCACAGCAAAAAAAA